GAUGAACGCUGGCGGCGUGCCUAAUACAUGCAAGUCGAGCGAACAGACGAGGAGCUUGCUCCUCUUACGUUAGCGGCGGACGGGUGAGUAACACGUGGAUAGCCUACCUAUAAGACUGGGAUAACUUCGGGAAACCGGAGCUAAUACCGGAUAAUAUAUUGAACCGCAUGGUUCAAUAGUGAAAGACGGUUUUGCUGUCACUUAUAGAUGGAUCCGCGCCGCAUUAGCUAGUUGGUAAGGUAACGGCUUACCAAGGCAACGAUGCGUAGCCGACCUGAGAGGGUGAUCGGCCACACUGGAACUGAGACACGGUCCAGACUCCUACGGGAGGCAGCAGUAGGGAAUCUUACGCAAUGGGCGAAAGCCUGACGGAGCAACGCCGCGUGAGUGAUGAAGGUCUUCGGAUCGUAAAACUCUGUUAUUAGGGAAGAACAAAUGUGUAAGUAACUAUGCACGUCUUGACGGUACCUAAUCAGAAAGCCACGGCUAACUACGUG
rnacentral:rRNA from 1 species